GUGGAACUAUUAUAGCACUCAGAGCUUCCGUUUUCAAGUUGUGAAGAAUUUCAGAUUGGAGGAAAAUCUCUCUCAAGUUCUUUGAAGCUGUGGUAUUGGAGCCAGGAAGUCAUGGAAAGUGCGGGCACUCCACGUGCGUUGUCUGGGAUAAUGGUUUUCCAUCUGGACAUUCCUCUUCUCGGCAGUAUCAGCUCCUGCAGCCACAUGACCAGCAGUCAUCCAGUCAGACACGGAGCCUGGGCUUGUGACGCUUCUUUUCAGGUUUUUGUCCUGAAAAUAGUUGGACGCAAGUGUGCAGAUGGUCUGCUGGGCCCAAUUUCUACCCCCCACCCCAGAGAGGAAAACCUGCAGCUGUGCUGAAAGAGCCUGUGCUUCUAAUGGUGGACCUUCAGCCUUCCCAGCAAACAAAAGCUGCAGUGUGGUGGAGACUUGGAGUUUCCCCAGAGAGCUCUGCCCUGGCUGAAUGCAAUGAGCCUGAGCAGACACUGCUGACGACUUGGUGCACUGGAGUGGCAGCAGGUGCCAAGCUUGGCCCAGGGCAUUUCUAAUCCUGGCAAAGACAGCUCCCUGCUACUUUUAGCUGAGCAAGAGCAUCACAUGGAAAUGGUAAAAAACACAGCUAAAUGCCAAUGUGGUACCGGAGGAACAAGCAAAGCAGAGGAAAAAGUGGGAGGCAAGUUUACAAGGCCAAGAGCUUGAAGUUUACUCGUAGCAUCUUCUGGUGGGGUCUCUUUUGCAGCGGCACAUUCCAGCCAGGGCAAGAAUUGUCACACGCCAGAGAGCUGGUCCCAUUUCUGAGUGUGCUGUGUUAUUAAAGCACCUUCACUUCUCCCCACAGCCCAUCUAAUAUAUCUCCUGACCAAAAAAAAGUGAUGGAGCAAUGAAAGGGCGGCCAUGCAGAUGUUACAAGAUAUGAACCUGUCCCUGGUGUUGUGGCAGGGGAAUUGUACAUGUGAGCAGCAUGGCUUGACUUUCUGAGCAGUCUGCACAGAGCACCUUUCAGGCAGUGGAAGCUUCGGCUGCUGCAUACCUUGGUUUGAAUAACAUGCAGCUUUGUGGAUAGCUGCAGUGGAAUUAAAGGGCAAGAACUGCCUACUCAACAUGUGCAUCAGCCCAGGGUGCUGCCAUAGCGAAGGCAGAGUGUUUCUGCUGCUUUUGAAAUCUGGCAAGCCUAUAAAAAUAAUUUAGUGUCUGGAAGACAUUUUCCACCAGACUUUUUCCUUUAGAGCUAGCAAAAAAAAAAAAAAAAAAAAAAAAAAGUAGUCUAAAUUAGCGUUCGGCAAGGUCUUUAUAAAGGAAGAAAGCUAGUCAGAUGGAGCAUAUAUAACUAUGGAAAGCACAGACUCUGUAAGGAAUGCUUUUGUCACUGGCUGUCUCUUAUUUUUCUGCAGAGCAUUAGUGAUGGUUAAAUUCAAAGUGAGAAGAUGCAAUGACUGUCAGCUCAGCCUGCCUGGGAGAUGUGGGGAAGGGUGCUCUCCAUCCUACAUUUGUCCAUUGGCCACUAUAGACCCAAAACUGAGAAACAAGUAUUGAAACCAAAUAAGAACUAAGAAAGACCCCCCCACCCUCAGGGAGUUUCUGCAGAGGAAAAAAAAAAAAAGAAAGAAAGAAAAAAAAAAAAGAAAAGAAAAAAGUAAGGUACCAGAGCUGUAGAACUGGAAAAGAAAUCUGUGAAGCAUAAGGCAGGCGUAGAAACUGGCUUUGGUUUUCUCUACAUCCACACACUGCUGCACCAAGAGGACAGCAAGCAUUAGCAGAGCAGAGAAAAUGUGUGUUUCUUUUCUGGUCUUUCCUGUUCUGUACAGAUAAUAUCACAGGCUUCAGAGGCUCAGACAUCCAUCACCUUACCUGCACGCUAUGCAGACGGCAGAGAGCAAAGCAAGUGCAAAGAAGACAGUCCCUGUUAAAAUUGCCAGCAUCAUUAUGCUUUCCAUCCUCUCCUGCCUCACAGCAUCCACAGUGUCAGGUUCUGUGAUGUUCUUGUAUUCAAAGAGCAUUGCAAAGCCUCUGCCCCGAUUGGUGGUGGUAAUGAGUUCCAUGAUAACCUCAACCAUUUCCAGAGAAGAACCAAAGACCAUGGUCUUGUUUAAAGGUGAAUUUGGUCCACAGAAACGAGAGGAAAAUGUGAUGAGGUCUGAAACGUACAGCACGUCGUGGGGACAGACAUCCACUGCCGGCUGUUGGCUGGAGAUUUCCACUGGCAGUAUUGUUGUGGGAAGCGUCCAGCUCUGUUCCAGACUUUCAUCUCUCUCACUAGCAGGGGAAUGAACUGCGGGUUUCUCAUUGAAGGCAUCUGGACCGUGGCUUGAAGUUUCGAGUGAAAAAGAAACCAUGCACAGCUGCCCAGGUUUUCUGUCUGAUCAUUGGUGCUGCGCAGCAAGUAACGCCAAGAUGGCUCAACAGCAUGUUACAGUUAUUUUUCUCCUGGAGAUACCAAGAUGGCAGUUGGAGGUAUUCACACCCCACCUCUCCUACCAGGAGACUCUGCUAAUGUCUAAAAGCAGCUGUCAGCUCAGAGGCUCUCACGCUGAAUGGCCAGACGCUUCUGAUGUUCCACACGAUGGAAGCCUAUUGUACAAACAUAUGGAGAAGGAAACAGCCCAGAUGUGAAAGCUAAAACCUGCUAAUAUUUGGGAUCAUCACCAGCAAGCUGAAACUCUGUGGGAGCCAGGCCAUUUCUUCACUCAGUGCAGGAGCAAGACUAUUUGAAGUGAAGUAUAACACCAUUUGCUGCCAAGAGCUGUAUGAGGAAUUAUGUUCUUACAUCAAGCCCAAGGACUUUCUCUUGACUGCUGGAUGAUCGUUCUGUGUACCAGCGCAGGACUCUGCAGUGCCUCAUCCCCACCCCAUCCUCCUCCUGCCAUGGAUUUCUACAAGAGGAUUCGAUUUACAUUUAGUAUUCCUCAUACUCAAGGAAUGAUCUAAAGCAUCUUCAGACACGGUUGAUACGGUCCCAUGUCUCGCCAUCAGGCCGGAUCUUGAUUACUUAAUAUUGAUAGACCUGAUAUCUAAACUGACCCAGUAAUAAUAACCGUGAUGAAAGGGCAGAGCUGCUGCACCAGACAUGCCAUUGCUGUAGCUCUGCUGCUGCUGAGUAGCAGCUCUGGUACCAACCACACCACAGUUCUUCAAGAAGGGAAGUAGGAAGAACAUUCCACCACCAUUCCUGGUCUGUACUCUGAGAAGCAAAUGAAGGAGAAUAAUUGUUUGCUGGUUACUACAGGAAAGAUUGUUUGCUGGGUCUUUUUAAACCAGUACAACAGGCUUGUUUGCUUCAAGCUACUGAGAUAUUAAAGAAACAAAAAUGAUUUCAGCAUUUUCAUCUCAGGGAUUGCCAGCGUCUCUGGAGGUGCAGCGCUCUUUCACCUCCUUCAGCACAAACUUUACCCAUCCCUCCAGAAGUCCUGUGCCACUGGCUUCCUUCUCUUACCUCGACAGCUUCUCCCAUCGCCAGCCCUGGCAAACAAGAGAACCGCGGAUCAGCCACGCAAAGAGAGAACCCCACGUGCUGCGCCGGACUCCAGGCCAGCCUCAUCCAUCUUCUCUGCUCUCAGCUUCUUCAGCGCUUCAGUAAUUAGAAUUAUCAGGACUGAAACACUGCGGACAUUAUUGCUGCUUAGCGUGAAGUUAACAAGAGAGCCAGAUUUACAACGUUCUGGCCAGACAGAGAAUUAAUAAAAGUUCCGAAUGAUUGCCCAGUUCCAGGGCUGCAAACUGCAGGAUCUUAUUUUGCCAGAGACUCUACAUGAACUUUAGCCUCCAGGAGAAAUCCGCCUGCAUUUUUCUCACUGACAUACCAGUCAGACCAGCGGCAGGACACAAAUGAACAUGCAUGAAAAAUUAAGGUUCAAUGACCCAGAUCAAUUAUGUGUUAAGGGCACUGCUCUGGACUCAGUAGGAAAUAUUUGAAACAGGAAAAAAAAGAACUAAAUGGGAUCAUUCAUUGAACUGACCUGGAAAUAAGGCAGAAAUGUGGUAAAUAAGUUCAAUGCAAGCCAGUUUCAUGUAGUGAUGGUAGUGGAUAGAAAAAAAUUAAAGAAAGGGGGGUAGGGGAGAAGGGAAGGAACUACUCAGACUCAAGUAAUGUCCCAGACUUCUGGGUACUGCUAUGACCAGCGCAGUAAUACAAAGCAAUUCUCAUGCCUUCUUUGCACUUGAACCUACAGCUCUUCAGUAUCAAACAAAAGCAAUCAUUUAAAGCAAGAAUAUCUUCUGAGGACGAGGACCAGGUAUUGUGGCUGGAUUUUCAUUUUUAAGCACACAGGCAUUAGGUGGGGAGAAAUGACUCCGCUGCUUCAGGACAUCAGAACACAACUGCUUCCCACACUGCCUGAACUCCCAAGCUGUGCUCACAGUACCUGGCUGCCAAGGUAUGUUGUAAACACAAUAGGAAGCAGCUACAGCAAGUCAUCAAGGUCUAAAGAAAAUAGGAAAGACCAAUCAUUUUUCUUCUCCAAAAGCACAGGGCACUUUUACAAACCAUAAUGAGAUUAAUAGAUAGUGAGCUUCUCGCCAGCAAAGCUUUCAGAUUCUUAUUUGUCUUGACUGAUUUAGAUUCUUGGGACAGAAUCACAGUGCUCUGUAGUGACCUAUAAAGUAAAACCUACCUGGAGCUACAAACCCUGCUCACGUGUUAUGAAAUAACCACUACACCUGGCAGCUGGGAUCAGAACCAGAUGUGUAACACGUCCAAGCAGGAGCAGGACUGCUGCCAUCAGCACUGAGGGAUGGACUUUUCAUCAGAUGUAUCUCUUUUGCCUCCGCUUUUCUUAAGGCAGAGGUUGACCACGAACGUCCUCGAACCUACUGUGUGUCAGCUUUCAUCACUUGAGCGUCUGCGUGCCCUUCCCUCCCCAGUCAGAAGUGCAUAUUUUGCUGCUCCAGUUGCAUAAUUCCCUGAUUCAGCUGCAUGCUUGGUUGGCCUGGCAGGAGCCUGGGACAGUCGUUGAGAUCCUGGAUACAUUGCCAAUUGUGCAGUGUGCUUUGUUGAUGGGGGCCGUAGAAUUUAAUAGCUGAAAUUUCAUACACUUUACUAAUCAGGCCACAUUCUUUGCUAAUUGAGGUGCAUAUUUUAGUAGUUGAUUUUUUUGUUGCUGUUGUUUAAUCCUUCACUGAUCUUGGGAAGGAUCCUGCUCCCUCUGAAGCGAGCAGGAAUUUUGCCAUGAUCUUCCCUGGGACCAGGACUUUCACCAGGAGGCUGGGAUCACUGCAGAUUCCUUCUCUUGAAAGAAACAAUAGACUUGAUGCUUUUUUAAGCCAGCGAGUGAACAGGCGAAUGCCAGGUGAAAGAUGGCACUGGCAUAGAGACCUCCUCCACGGGGAUUUGAUUAAACAGAUGAUAGUUUAUGGGCAUACAGAGACCUGGAAUUUUGACUAUGUGCUUCUUUCAUCAGGCUUACAUUCCUCUUUCAGGAUAAACAAGCCAUUUCUCCAUGCAUCUUAUUCCAUCUGAUACAGACAUACAGGAGGAAACACCAUAUACCUUAUCUUCAAAUUGUCUCUUAUUUGCUCUAUCUGUCUCUCCAGCUCAGUCUGCCCUCCUCCUGCACACAGUGCCUGUUCCAGGGAGCCCGUUGUGGUUUUCAUACUGCUAACUCCACACAGGCAGACAAUUCAUUUCUCACUUCUGCUAAACUGAACCAGAUUUGAACCAACCAUUUAGAGGAGGAUUUUUUCCUAGCGAGGCAACGCCAUCAGAAUGUAGCCAAAGCAGAUCAAAAUAAUGAAGCCUACACAGCGUAGUGCAGACCUUGACGAGUGAGGAACAAGUACAACUUAAUCAAAACAAUAACAAAAUAGGGAGCAAGAGAUGUGUGCCCGUGUCUACAUGAAUGAAUUUCACUGUCCCAUUUAGGCAGAUAAGCAAUAGGAAAUGCCUAAGUUUUAUUCUGCAGAAGAAAUUGUCCUGCAUUUUUAGAGACUACAAGCAGUGAGCAACUACACGAAUAGCUGACAUACGCUGUGCCUGGGAAAGUAAGGGGGAGGCUGCUCCUGCUGCUUCGUUAGGGAGGCACUUCUGCUAUGGUACCCAUGGUCAGUGCUUAACUGGUUCUGGUAGUGCUGCUGGAAGGCAAAUGGUCCUGGAUUCAGAACCAGAGAUUGACAGGAGCUGGCUGGGAAACACAGGAAAAAGACAAAUGGAACAAAGCUAAUAGGGUUUGCUGAUGCACACAGUGUCACACCGUGGAACUCACACCCGAAGGCACACGACAGCAAAUAUUUGUCCUGUCUCAUGACUGUCCAGGCAAAAUUAGAACGAAGCACAGGAAGGAUGUAACAACUUCAGGCAGGGCGCAGUUAUGCAGUGUAAGUGUGCAGCUGGGUGCGGGAGUUGUUCACCCGCAGCAACAAGCCCAAAAGGAGGGUAAGUUUCCAGAUUACUUAUUGCAGUUCUGAGUUAAAGUAGAGACAAAAGACAAAACCCCACAGCCAUAUAGUUUUAUAGAUUUGUGAAGCUGGUACUCGGUACUUUAGAACUGAGACCAUGGCUUAAGAACUUCUUGGCAUCUAUCUUCACGUGAGUGAGUUAAAACAUCUUAAUUUUGGCACUGAAGUCACUGCUGUGCUGGCAUGUGCUGAGGCAGGGAGGUGCUGUAGCAGGCUGAAUCACACCGUGCUGCUUUGCCCCCGGUAAAGCAAUCCCCCGCAUUUCUUUUGACUUAUUCAUACAUAACUAAAGCGAUACCUUAACAGAAUAUUGUUUUCUUAGAGCGUAGUGGCUCACAUUUCAUAGAUCUAAGAACCUCCACCAGAAGCGUGAAAUCCUCCACCCAGAGCUCGCAGGGUCCCAUGAGAGCAGCAGCUCGGUGCUCUGGCACUUCUCGCAGCACCCAGCUCUUAUCGCCCCGCAGCCGCCCGAUGCUCCCGUUGCUGCUCAGCCCCGCCGCGCUGUUCCCUCGCUGCCGCCCCCGUCCUGCGCAGCGCCCGUCCCUGCCGCUACUCACCUGCUCCCCGUAGCACAGAUGAGGUGCACGAGGCAGGAGAGCAAAGGGAGGGUAACGCGACUCGAGGUGCUUGGCUUGGGCUCCCUGUGCCAACCUACCCCUC